rnacentral:rRNA from 1 species
CGAGCGAACCCCUAUCUUUAGUUACUAACAGGUUAUGCUGAGGACUCUAGAGAAACUGUCGGUGUUAAACCGAAGGAAGGUGGGGAUGACGUCAAGUCAUCAUGGUCUUUAUAUCUAGGGCUACACACGUGCUACAAUGGUGAUUACAACGGGUUGCGAAAUCGCGAGAUGGAGCUAAUCCCUAAAAGGUCAUCUCAGUUCGGAUUGCAGUCUGCAACUUGACUGCAUGAAGUCGGAAUCGCUAGUAAUCGCGGAUCAGCAUGCCGCGGUGAAUACGUUCUCGGGUCUUGCACACACCGCCCGU